UUCCUGAUAGUCCAGUGGCUGGGACUCUGAGCUCCCAAAGCAGGGGGCCCAGGUUCGACCCCUGGUCAGGGAA
rnacentral:tRNA from 1 species